UUCAUGUCGGGGAGUCUGAGGGCGCAGGCGGGAAAGGAAAGCGGCGUACACCGCAGCUGAAAGGGUUUAUGGUUCUAGUUCCUGACUUUUUAAUGAGAAGCUGACAGCACGUUUCAGUCAUUCCUACUCCAGGAUGGGCCAUCAUCUCUCACCCUUCAAGUCACGGCACUUCAUCUACCCCGAGUGUUACCCAUUCUGGGAUGUGGCAGUAGGUCAGGGAAUAUGAAAAGCAGGCUCCUCUGUGAUGGGCUACACUGAAGGAAUGAUACAAAGUGCAUUCAGAGAAGGAUCUAUUGUACAAAACAAAGCCUUUCUUCCAGUCACUCUGGAGAACACGGUGUGAGAACAGUGCUGUGGUUUAAAUCAUUAAAGGUGUGACAGACCAGGGUGCUUACCCUUUUUCCUCUGAGGACUUUGAAGAAACUACUACAUUUGACAAAUGACCAAAAAGAAAGACAUCUUAAAAGAAUCAAUUGAGAGACGUCAAAAGCAACCGGAAAAUCU